ACGAACGCUGGCGGCGUGCCUAAUACAUGCAAGUAGAACGCUGAAGGCGGAGCUUGCUUCUCUGGAUGAGUUGCGAACGGGUGAGUAACGCGUAGGUAACCUGCCUGGUAGCGGGGGAUAACUAUUGGAAACGAUAGCUAAUACCGCAUAAGAGUAGAUGUUGCAUGACAUUUGCUUAAAAGGUGCAAUUGCAUCACUACCAGAUGGACCUGCGUUGUAUUAGCUAGUUGGUGGGGUAACGGCUCACCAAGGCGACGAUACAUAGCCGACCUGAGAGGGUGAUCGGCCACACUGGGACUGAGACACGGCCCAGACUCCUACGGGAGGCAGCAGUAGGGAAUCUUCGGCAAUGGACGGAAGUCUGACCGAGCAACGCCGCGUGAGUGAAGAAGGUUUUCGGAUCGUAAAGCUCUGUUGUAAGAGAAGAACGAGUGUGAGAGUGGAAAGUCCACACUGUGACGGUAUCUUACCAGAAAGGGACGGCUAACUACGUG
rnacentral:rRNA from 1 species